rnacentral:rRNA from 1 species
UACGGGGGGGGCAAGCGUUGUUCGGAAUUACUGGGCGUAAAGGGCUCGUAGGUGGCCAACUAAGUCAGACGUGAAAUCCCUCAGCUUAACUGGGGAACUGCGUCUGAUACUGGAUGGCUUGGAUCCGGGAGAGGGAUGCGGAAUUCCAGGUGUAGCGGUGAAAUGCGCAGAUAUCAGGAAGAACACCCGUGGCGAAGGCGGCUCUCUGGGACGGUACUGACGCUGAGACGCGAAAGCGUGGGGAGCGAACAGG